UCCGGGUUUGACCCGGCGGUCCCGCCAGACAUGGUAACUGGCAGCGAGGGUUGCGCUCGUUGCGGGGCUUAACCCAACACCUCACGACACGAGCUGACGACAGCCAUGCAGCACCUGUGUCCAGGCUCCCUUUCGGGCACACUCACCUCUCAGCAAGCUUCCUGGCAUGUCAAGGGUAGGUAAGGUUCUUCGCGUUGCAUCGAAUUAAUCCACAUCAUCCACCGCUUGUGCGGGUCCCCGUCAAUUCCUUUGAGUUUUAAUCUUGCGACCGUACUCCCCAGGCGGUCAACUUCACGCGUUAGCUGCGGUACUGAGAAAUCGCUUCCCCAACACCUAGUUGACAUCGUUUAGGGCGUGGACUAC
rnacentral:misc_RNA from 1 species